rnacentral:rRNA from 1 species
CUUUCCCUCUGUCGGCAUGCUUUACACAUGCAAGUCGAACGGCAGCGGGGUAGUGCUUGCACUACUGCCGGCGAGUGGCGAACGGGUGAGUAAUAUAUCGGAACGUACCGAGUAAUGGGGGAUAACCAAUCGAAAGAUUGGCUAAUACCGCAUACGUCCUGAGGGAGAAAGCGGGGGAUCGCAAGACCUCGCGUUAUUCGAGCGGCCGAUAACUGAUUAGCUAGUUGGUGGGGUAAAGGCCUACCAAGGCGACGAUCAGUAGCGGGUCUGAGAGGACGAUCCGCCACACUGGGACUGAGACACGGCCCAGACUCCUACGGGAGGCAGCAGUGGGGAAUUUUGGACAAUGGGGGCAACCCUGAUCCAGCCAUGCCGCGUGUAUGAAGAAGGCCUUCGGGUUGUAAAGUACUUUUGUUAGGGAAGAAAAGGGAAGUGCUAAUACCACUUUUUGCUGACGGUACCUAAAGAAUAAGCACCGGCUAACUACGUG